rnacentral:tRNA from 1 species
GGGUAUAGCUCAGUGGUAGAGCACAUGCCUAGCACACACCAGGUCCUGGGUUCAAUCCCCAGUACCUCCA